UGAUGCCGAGCCUGACCGUGGACCUAGUCUGCGCUGCAUGCAGUGGGCGGAGCGGCUUCCACCGGUGUUGGUCGGCCCGGCGCCCUUGACAUAGCCGUCAUGUAACAAAAGUAGGUGAGCUGAGGUUGUAUGCAUAUACUUUGCUGAGUUGAUCGUGGCAGAAGGGACACUUGGAGGCGGAAAGAAAAAAAACAAGGUAGACGCACAUCACCUUGCUCAAACACGCCGACUUUUUUUUUUGGGAGCCGUGGCACGAGAAAGUGAAAGGAAGGUGAAUUCCUUCACUGGAAAGGAGCGGCAGUGCAGCUACAGGCGUGACACAACGAGUAAAAAGGCAGAACAUCGUCAAGAGCAGAAAGGCACACGCGGGAAACGUUGGCGCACGUGUCCGCAACAUGCAGCGCUAACUUAUCAUACUGGGGCCGAUGAUGAAAGGGGGCAGCCGAAACAAACGAAGCGUAGGAUUUAGAACGCAGAAUCUCUGUUUUAUCUGUUGCUCUCUCUCUUCUGAUGGAAUACUUCCCCGUCUCCCUUGCUCUCUCUUUUCUUUCCUUUUUUACCGAUUUUCUUCUUUUUGUACGUAUCGCUGUGCUGUGUGUCUCCAUGUUUCUUUGCUUUUUUCUUUUCGUUUGGAUACACCCUUGCAUGUUGCUCGCUUCCCUGUCUACCUAGUGCUGCUUCUGCUUCCCUGUGCGCUUGUUUCUUUUCCCCACUCUCCCCUUCCCUCCCUCCCUCCCUACACACAAACACACACACACACACAUACAUACUCUCCUUUCGGUAUUUGUUUCUCUUCGUCUUCUUUUUCUUUGAUUGCCGGGUCUUGCUGAACUCUAUGUGUGUCUAUGGGUAUGCAUAUAUAUAUAUAUACACACAUAUAUGUAUGCGCAUAGGUAUAGGUACACAUAUAUGCUCAUAUUUGUGUACUUCCCCAACCUCUUUCUUACUCUCUCUCGGUUCCUUCUCGAUUGAUGAGUACGUCUGUUUUCACUCUUUAAAUGGACACUUCGACAUACCUAAACACGCGCGCGUUCUCUCUUUUUUUUUGGUUCUUCCUUACUUUCUCAUUCAUUGUCCCUUGCCCUCCUCCCUCUUCUCCAAACCCCUCACACUCUUCUUCCCUUUCCUCUUCGCCAUGUAUUAUUUUUCCCUUUUUUUUUUGUGUGUGCGUGUGUCUUUGAGGAUAUGCGCUGCAGGUGCGCUUAUUCUUGCUGUGGCGGUGGCGGUGACUGAUGUUGUUCGUCGACGCGUGUCGACGUGUCUCUCUUACAACCUCGCCGUUACGCGUAUACGUUUGUGUAAGAGUCUUUCUUUUUCUUUUGACUCCUUUUCACUCUCUCUAUAUAUUUCCCCUUUUAUCUUGCUCGUGUUUCUUUUCUCCAUUUGUUGUUUUCCAUUUCUAUCUCCAUCUCUGCCCUGCCUUUCCCUCCCUUCCAUUUCCUUCUCCCUCCAUCGUUGUCCACCACCACCCCGUCAAGCACGCGGUCGCACACAGGCGUGUCGGCUACACCUUACGCCCAAUCUGAUGCCUUGCCAUUCAUGUCACGCGGAUUCCCGUGCUCGUCCCCCAUUUCCAUCCCACGCUCCCUUGCCUAAGCAAGUCGCUCACAAGACACCAGCCUCGCUAUAUUUACCAUCCUUGCAUCCUUGCUCUUUGGACGCCGUGGCGGGCGAACAAGCCCGCAGCAACAACAACGAAAAAGAAGCGGAAAUACUUCUGCAUUUUCAUAUGUAUAUAUAUAUAUGUGUGUGUGUGUGUACGUGUGCAUGUGUGCCAUAUUUUGUCGGUGCGUGCGAUUUCUGUUCACGGAACGAAUCCUGUGCACAAACACGGUGCAUAUAUAUAUAUAUAUACGUGUGCGUGACGAGGUGGGCUUUGCACACAGGCCGAUGGUGGGAUUGCAUUUUCGGCGGCAUCCAUCCCACGAGGACGGCAUGCUCGUCUUUGUGCCUCUUUUGCGUUUCUGUGUGUUUUCAUUCCCCCGUUUCGGUUCGCUCCUCUUUCCCUGUGCGUGAGCACGCGAGCUGAAGAUGGACUGAAAUCCAUUUCUCUCUCCCUCAUUCCCCAGCGCUGUAACUAACGAGAAGAAGCGUGGUGACAGCAGCAGCACG
rnacentral:misc_RNA from 1 species